rnacentral:rRNA from 1 species
AGCGAACGUUUGCGGCGGGCUUAACACAUGCAAGUCGAACGGGCUGUUCCUUCGGGGGCAGUCAGUGGCGCACGGGUGCGUAACACGUAGGUAAUCAACCCUCUGGUUGGGGAUAACACUUCGAAAGGAGUGCUAAUACCCGGUAUGGCGCAGCGGUCUUCGGAUCGCGGCGAGAAAGACCCGCAAGGGUUGCCAGAGGACGAGCCUGCGGCCCAUCAGCUAGUUGGCGAGGUAACGGCUCACCAAGGCGAAGACGGGUAGCUGGUCUGAGAGGAUGAUCAGCCACACUGGAACUGAGACACGGUCCAGACCUCCGUACGGGA